rnacentral:lncRNA from 1 species
UAACUGUUCCGUCUCCAGUACACGUCCCCUGCUAAACUGUUGUGUGCUCGUGUCUGGGAGAAGAAACUUGUCAUCGGGGGAAGGAGAAAAGAAAUAAGAUGCAGCUGACGACCGUUAGCAAAAGUCAUCUACUUAUUUGUCCAGCGAUCGGUGAACUCGCCUUUUUUUUACCUUCUACACUGCGAGUGCUGAACUGGGCUUUGUGUGUGCUCGUUAUGUACAUGAGUGAUACCUUUUUUUUUACUUUUUACAUUGCGAGUGCUGAACUGGGGUUUGUGUGUGCUCGUUAUGUACAUGAGUGAUUGAUACACUGUUGGCAAAUUGUAUUUUGCCAGGUUGUUUGUAUUUUUAAAGCUUCUGCUAUAAGACAGAAUUCACUUGCCCGCUAUCUCAUGUGGAAUCUGCUCUGUACGCGAGGUAAUACUGCUCUACACAACGUUGACAG